rnacentral:rRNA from 1 species
UACGUAGGGGGCGAGCGUUGUCCGGAUUUAUUGGGCGUAAAGAGCGUGUAGGCGGCCAGACAGGUCCGUUGUGAAAACUCGAGGCUCAACCUCGAGACGCCGAUGGAAACCGUCUGGCUAGAGUCCGGAAGAGGAGAGUGGAAUUCCUGGUGUAGCGGUGAAAUGCGCAGAUAUCAGGAAGAACACCCGUGGCUAAGGCGGCUCUCUAGUACGGUACUGACGCUGAGACGCGAAAGCGUGGGGAGCGAACCGG